GUGACUCUGAAAGGGCUGACUAGCAUGUGAGGCACCGCCAGAGAGACAAGUAGGAUUGUGAACCAGAGAGGAAGGUUGAGAGAAAGUUCUGGUUGCCAACAAGAAUGUGAGCAAGAGCUCAGAGACAACCAUCCCUGCCAACUUCCUGUGCUCAUUGCCCUCCACUGUCAUCCAGGAAUUUUGAGGACAGAUUUCUCUACAGAGAGUUGGAAACAAGAUGGAUCUGGAAUCAAAGAAAAGAGCCAGGGAGAAGGAAAAAGAGAAGAAUAAAAAAUACAGCUUUGAUUCUUUCAUCUCGGGUUAUUUCUGAAAUGGCAAAAUGAUGAUCCACAGAAUUCUCAGGGCCCUCGGUACCUCGCUGCCAGUUUCCCUGCGGUCUGUGGAGGGAGCUGUUCCUGUUGUUUCAGUAUUUGGACACUAAACAUAGUUCUUAAAGCGAAUUGGUGAAAAUGACUAUUAUCCAUCAUUCAACACUGAGGUCUGUCUCAAGAGCCGGUUAGAGGGCAUGUGGCUAUCUGAGGUGGAGAGAAUGAAGCAGGAGAGGAAGUUUAUUAUGCCAAGUACCAUGCCCUCCAGAAAUCUCAGGAAACCCAGUCACUCGAGCACCAUGAGACUUGGAACCACUUGGUAUUUGGAAUAAUUCUCUCUUGCCUGAAGAACAAUCACUUUGAUGUGACUUUCUACUCACAAUGCUAGCAAUGGUUUUGCAUGGAUAAGGAUCAUGGUGAACAAAAUACGAGAUUAAAUCGAGCA